GUACAAUAAGCAAAAUAAGGGCGUAUGGGGGAUGCCUUGGCUCUCAGAGGCGAUGAAGGGCGUGAUAAGCUGCGAAAAGCUACGGGGAUUGGCACACACGAUAUGAUCCGUAGAUACCCGAAUGGGGCAACCCACUAUGUUGAAGACAUAGUACACCGAUAGGUGGGCAAACCCGCUGAACUGAAACAUCUAAGUAGGCGGAGGAGAAGAAAACAAAAGUGAUUCCGUAAGUAGUGGCGAGCGAACGCGGAUUAGCCCAAACCAAAGAUGUUACGGCAUUUUUGGGGUUGUAGGACCACGAUAUUUGUUGCGGAUAGAAUUAGAAUCUACUGGAAAGUAGGGCCAAAGAAGGUGAUAGCCCUGUAUAAGUAAUAGAAGAUAACGAUAGUGGUAUCCUGAGUAGGGCGGGACACGAGAAAUCCUGUCUGAAUUUGGCGGGACCAUCCGCUAAGGCUAAAUACUCCUGAGAGACCGAUAGUGAACCAGUACCGUGAGGGAAAGGUGAAAAGAACCGUGAAUAACGGAGUGAAAUAGAUCCUGAAACCAUACGCUUACAAGCGGUCGGAGCCCUUUCGUGGGGUGACGGCGUGCCUUUUGCAUAAUGAGCCUACGAGUUAACGUUGCUGGCAAGGAUAAGUGGUUAAGCCACGGAUCCGUAGCGAAAGCGAGUCUGAAUAGGGCGCUUUAGUCAGUAGUGUUAGACGCGAAACCGUGUGAUCUACCCAUGGGCAGGUUGAAGCUGUGGUAACACAUAGUGGAGGACCGAACCGGUUGACGUUGAAAAGUCUUCGGAUGACCUGUGGGUAGGGGUGAAAGGCCAAUCAAACUCGGAAAUAGCUCGUACUCCCCGAAAUGCAUUUAGGUGCAGCGUUAUGGUUAAAGUUAUAUAGAGGUAGAGCUACUGAUUGGAUGCGGGGGCUUCACCGCCUACCAAUUCCUGACAAACUCCGAAUGCUAUAUAAUGUUUCAUAACAGUGAGGGCUUGGGUGCUAAGGUCCAAGUCCGAGAGGGAAAGAACCCAGACCAUCAGCUAAGGUCCCCAAAUAUACGCUAAGUUGAAAGAACGAGGUUUGUCUGCCCAGACAGCUAGGAUGUUGGCUUGGAAGCAGCCAUUCAUUUAAAGAGUGCGUAACAGCUCACUAGUCGAGCGGACGAGCAUGGAUAAUAAUCGGGCAUAAGCGUAUUACCGAAGCUAUGGAUUUACAAUUAAUUGUAAGUGGUAGGGGAGCAUUCUCACAGGGUAGAAGGUGUAUCGUAAGGUAUGCUGGACUGGUGAGAAAAGAAAAUGUAGGCAUAAGUAACGAUAAUGCGGGCGAGAAACCCGCACACCGAAAGACUAAGGUUUCCACAGCUAUGCUAAUCAGCUGUGGGUUAGUCGGGACCUAAGGCGAACCCGAAAGGGACAGUCGAUGGACAACGGGUUAAUAUUCCCGUACUAGUUNNNNNNNNNNNNNNNNNNNNNNNNNNNNNNNNNNNNNNNNNNNNNNNNNNNNNNNNNNNNNNNNNNNNNNNNNNNNNNNNNNNNNNNNNNNNNNNNAAGUACCCGUACCGCAAACCGACACAGGUAGUCGAGGAGAGAAUCCUAAGGUGCUCGAGAGAUUCAUGGCUAAGGAAUUAGGCAAAAUAGACCCGUAACUUCGGGAGAAGGGUCGCCUCGUAGCAAUACGAGGCCGCAGUGAAGAGGUCCAGGCGACUGUUUAUCAAAAACACAGGGCUCUGCAAAAUCGUAAGAUGAAGUAUAGGGCCUGACACCUGCCCGGUGCUGGAAGGUUAAGUGGAGAUGUUAUCUUCGGAGAAGCAUUGAAAUGAAGCCCCAGUAAACGGCGGCCGUAACUAUAACGGUCCUAAGGUAGCGAAAUUCCUUGUCGGGUAAGUUCCGACCUGCACGAAUGGUGUAACGAUCUGGACACUGUCUCAGCCAUGAGCUCGGUGAAAUUGUAGUAGCGGUGAAGAUGCCGCUUACCCGCAGUGGGACGAAAAGACCCUGUGCACCUUUACUAUAGCUUAGUAUUGACCUUGGAUAAAUGAUGUGUAGGAUAGGUUGGAGACUGUGAAGUGGCGUCGCUAGGCGUUGUGGAGUCAUUGUUGAAAUACAACCCUUUGUUUAUCUAGGGCCUAACCCCGCUUUGCGGGGGACAUUGCUUGGUGGGUAGUUUGACUGGGGUGGUCGCCUCCAAAAGAGUAACGGAGGCUUCUAAAGGUUCCCUCAGUACGCUUGGUAACCGUGCGUAGAGUGCAAUGGCAUAAGGGAGCUUGACUGAGAGACAUACAGGUCGAUCAGGUACGAAAGUAGAGCAUAGUGAUCCGGUGGUUCCGCAUGGAAGGGCCAUCGCUCAAAGGAUAAAAGGUACGCCGGGGAUAACAGGCUGAUCUCCCCCAAGAGCUCAUAUCGACGGGGGGGUUUGGCACCUCGAUGUCGGCUCGUCACAUCCUGGGGCUGGAGAAGGUCCCAAGGGUUGGGCUGUUCGCCCAUUAAAGUGGCACGCGAGCUGGGUUCAGAACGUCGUGAGACAGUUCGGUCUCUAUCUACUGUGGGCGCAAGAAAUUUGAGUGGAUCUGAUUCUAGUACGAGAGGACCGAAUUGGACAAACCUCUAGUGUAUCUGUUGUCACGCCAGUGGCAUCGCAGAGUAGCUACGUUUGGAAGGGAUAAGCGCUGAAAGCAUAUAAGCGCGAAACCCACCACAAGAUGAGAUUUCUUUUAAGGGUCGUAGGAGAUGACUACGUUGAUAGGCUAUAG
rnacentral:rRNA from 1 species